UCUCUAAUGAAAAUGGAACAUUCAGUGGCGAAAUUAGCUUGCGAUGAUACUCAGCCACUCACUCAUCUCCAAUGACGAUAUCGUCGCCAAUAUACUAGUUCUUUACCGGACACAGCACAAUCCUUAUUGAAGCUGGAUGAAGAUGGCAGUCCAAAUAUCAGAUUUAAGCCAAUGAAGAACCAUUUUGUUAUUAAUGAUGCUAAUUCUAGAUAUUGUACAUUGUAUAGUGCUGCUAACGAUAGGCAUAGUAUUCUGUAGGUUAGAGCUUAAUUUGUCAAAUUGUAAUGGAGGUAAUCUCCCAACUUAGGCAGAGUUCUUGGCAUCCUGUUGUUCACAAGGAUGAUCUAUGUCAUUCCUCACCAUGUUCUGGAGGUCAUUCCGCAACAUUAAAACAAAUUAACAUAAAAUAUGAUGAAUUCGUAUCUUCUCAACAAGACCAGUAUCCUCAUUUGGCUUUUUAGAGCUUUUGAUCCCAACUUAGGCAAAGUUCUUGGCAUCAUGUUGUUCACAAGGAUGAUCUAUGUCAUUCCUCACCAUGUUCUGGAGGUCAUUCCGCAACAUUAAAACAAAUUAACAUAAAAUAUGAUGAAUUCAUAUCCACGAAUACUCAUAUUUCAUUCUAUUAAAUCGUAAAAAGUGAAUCUACAUAAUUGAGCAAAUUGUUCAAGUCCCAUAGUAAAAUAUUCAAUUCCCACGUCCGAUAGGCAGAAACACUACACAUCUACGGAAUUUAUCAAAUAAUGCAAAUAAUUCACAUCAAGAAAACCGGACAAUUAUGAGUUACAGCAUGUUCACCAAAAUAAAAGAGAGAGAAAGA
rnacentral:lncRNA from 1 species